CGAACGGGUGAGUAACGCGUGAGGAACCUGCCUCAAAGAGGGGGACAACAGUUGGAAACGACUGCUAAUACCGCAUAAGCCCACGGGUCGACAUCGAUCUGAGGGAAAAGGAGUGAUCCGCUUUGAGAUGGCCUCGCGUCCGAUUAGCUAGUUGGUGAGGUAACGGCCCACCAAGGCGACGAUCGGUAGCCGGACUGAGAGGUUGAACGGCCACAUUGGGACUGAGACACGGCCCAG
rnacentral:rRNA from 1 species